rnacentral:rRNA from 1 species
GUCCAACCUCCCACCCGUGUUUAUUUUACCUUGUUGCUUCGGCGGGCCCGCCUUAACUGGCCGCCGGGGGGCUUACGCCCCCGGGCCCGCGCCCGCCGAAGACACCCUCGAACUCUGUCUGAAGAUUGAAGUCUGAGUGAAAAUAUAAAUUAUUUAAAACUUUCAACAACGGAUCUCUUGGUUCCGGCAUCGAUGAAGAACGCAGCGAAAUGCGAUACGUAAUGUGAAUUGCAAAUUCAGUGAAUCAUCGAGUCUUUGAACGCACAUUGCGCCCCCUGGUAUUCCGGGGGGCAUGCCUGUCCGAGCGUCAUUGCUGCCCUCAAGCCCGGCUUGUGUGUUGGGCCCCGUCCCCCGAUCUCCGGGGGACGGGCCCGAAAGGCAGCGGCGGCACCGCGUCCGGUCCUCGAGCGUAUGGGGCUUUGUCACCCGCUCUGUAGGCCCGGCCGGCGCUUGCCGAUCAACCCAAAUUUUUAUCCAGGUUGACCUCGGAUCAGGUAGGGAUACCCGCUGAACUUAAGCAUAUCAAUAAGAAGGAGGAA